rnacentral:rRNA from 1 species
UACGGGGGGGGUAAGCGUUGUUCGGAAUUACUGGGCGUAAAGGGCUCGUAGGCGGCCAACUAAGUCGGACGUGAAAUCCCUCAGCUUAACUGGGGAACUGCGUCCGAUACUGGAUGGCUUGGAUUUGGGAGAGGGAUGCGGAAUUCCAGGUGUAGCGGUGAAAUGCGUAGAGAUGUGGAGGAACACCGAUGGCGAAGGCGACUACCUGGCCUGUUCUUGACGCUGAGGCGCGAAAGCUAGGGGAGCAAACGGG